rnacentral:rRNA from 1 species
GUCUAUGGCUAUGCCACCUUGAACAAGCCCAAUGUCUGAUCUCAGAAGCUAAAUAGAGUUGAGCCUGAUUAGUACUUAGAUGGGAGACCACUUAGGAAGACCAGGUGCUAUAGGCA